GCUACCAUGCAGUCGACGGUGAACCAGGGGCUUGCCUCUGGGGAUCAGUGGCGAACGGGUGAGUAACACGUGAGCAACCUGCCCCGAUCUCUGGGAUAAGCGCUGGAAACGGCGUCUAAUACCGGAUAUGAGCUUCCAUCGCAUGGUGGGGGUUGGAAAGAUUUUUCGGUUCGGGAUGGGCUCGCGGCCUAUCAGCUUGUUGGUGAGGUAAUGGCUCACCAAGGCGUCGACGGGUAGCCGGCCUGAGAGGGUGACCGGCCACACUGGGACUGAGACACGGCCCAGACUCCUACGGGAGGCAGCAGUGGGGAAUAUUGCACAAUGGGCGCAAGCCUGAUGCAGCAACGCCGCGUGAGGGAUGACGGCCUUCGGGUUGUAAACCUCUUUUAGCAGGGAAGAAGCGAGAGUGACGGUACCUGCAGAAAAAGCGCCGGCUAACUACGUGCCAGCAGCCGCGGUAAUACGUAGGGCGCAAGCGUUAUCCGGAAUUAUUGGGCGUAAAGAGCUCGUAGGCGGUUUGUCGCGUCUGCUGUGAAAACCCGAGGCUCAACCUCGGGCCUGCAGUGGGUACGGGCAGACUAGAGUGCGGUAGGGGAGAUUGGAAUUCCUGGUGUAGCGGUGGAAUGCGCAGAUAUCAGGAGGAACACCGAUGGCGAAGGCAGAUCUCUGGGCCGUAACUGACGCUGAGGAGCGAAAGGGGGGGGGAGCAAACAGGCUUAGAUACCCUGGUAGUCCACCCCGUAAACGUUGGGAACUAGAUGGGGGGUCCUUUCCACGGGAUUCCGUGACGCACUAACGCAUUAGUCCCCCGCCUGGGGGAGUACGGCCGCAAGGCUAAAACUCAAAGGAAUUGACGGGGGACCCGCCCCAAGCGGCGGGAGCAUGCGGAAUUACUUCGAUGCACGGAAAGAACCUUGACUCACGGCUUGACGUAAA
rnacentral:rRNA from 1 species